GGGAGGUGUGAUAUCGUGCUUCCUGGGAGGUGUGAUAUUGUGCUUCCUGGGAGUUGUGAUACUGUGCUUCCU
rnacentral:pre_miRNA from 1 species